rnacentral:lncRNA from 1 species
UUGUCCAUACCUAAUUGAGAACAAAUAGAUCACUAUUCCAUUACACAAAUAGUUUUUUAGCUACAAUCAACAAAAAUUGCCAGGAAAGUAAACUAAAUCCAUGAAGUCAUAAGCAAGAAGGAAGAAGACUAGACAGAUCUGAACAACUCAUAUUAAUUGAAGUAAAACACAAACUUCGAGUAGAGGACAAUCUAAUUACAUUUUAAGAGAGUCCUCUAUCGUCUAUACACAACGAGGUACUUUCAAAGCUUCAAUGGCCACUCAAAAGGUAAGAAGAGUACCUGGAAAUAAGAAGAAGUAAGAAGAAGGUGAGGUUUCAAUAGAAGAAUAAACAGCAGCAGCACAGCAAGGCUCAACUCAAACAAUCCAUUUCAAUCGUAAAAAUGGUGUGAAAACAACCCAGAUCCAUUCUCGAUCAAACAACAAUCAAAUUGACCCCCAACCAAGCUCUUUAACAAACAAAAUUCAAACCAUUUUACCCCAAAUGAACCAACAAUUUUCAGCACUAAAAGAAACCUUAAAAAUCAAAGUAAUAUUAGAAAACUCCAAUGGAGCAGUACAAAGUAUUUAACUCCCUGCUUUUUUGAAUUAUUUCUCUUAACCUCCCAAAAAUCAAACUAUUUCAGCCCCAGAUAAAUCAAUAAAAUUUUAGAUGAUGAAAAUCCAAAAGAUUACAAAGAAGCACUCAAUGAAAAAAUUCUUUUAGAAUUCUCAGCUGCCUCAAGUUUUUCCAAAUUUCUU